rnacentral:rRNA from 1 species
UACGGGGGGGGCAAGCGUUGUUCGGAAUUACUGGGCGUAAAGGGCUCGUAGGCGGCCAACUAAGUCAGACGUGAAAUCCCUCGGCUCAACCGAGGAACUGCGUCCGAUACUGGCAGGCUGGAAUCCGGGAGAGGGAUGUGGAAUUCCAGGUGUAGCGGUGAAAUGCGUAGAUAUCUGGAGGAACACCGGUGGCGAAGGCGGCAUCCUGGACCGGUAUUGACGCUGAGGCGCGAAAGCUAGGGGAGCAAACGGG